rnacentral:rRNA from 1 species
AACGAACGCUGGCGGCAUGCCUAACACAUGCAAGUCGAACGAGACCUUCGGGCCUAGUGGCGCACGGGUGCGUAACGCGUGGGAAUCUGCCCUUGGGUUCGGAAUAACAGUUAGAAAUGACUGCUAAUACCGGAUAAUGUCUUCGGACCAAAGAUUUAUCGCCCAGGGAUGAGCCCGCGUAGGAUUAGCUAGUUGGUGAGGUAAAGGCUCACCAAGGCGACGAUCCUUAGCUGGUCUGAGAGGAUGAUCAGCCACACUGGGACUGAGACACGGCCCAGACUCCUACGGGAGGCAGCAGUGGGGAAUAUUGGGACAAUGGGCGAAAGCCUGAUCCAGCAAUGCCGCGUGAGUGAUGAAGGCCUUAGGGUUGUAAAGCUCUUUUACCCGGGAUGAUAAUGACAGUACCGGGAGAAUAAGCCCCGGCUAACUCCGUGCCAGCAGCCGCGGUAAU